rnacentral:rRNA from 1 species
UACGGAGGGUGCAAGCGUUAAUCGGAAUUACUGGGCGUAAAGCGCGCGUAGGUGGUUUGGUAAGCGAGAUGUGAAAGCCCCGGGCUUAACCUGGGAACGGCAUUUCGAACUGUCAGACUAGAGUGUGGUAGAGGGUAGUGGAAUUUCCUGUGUAGCGGUGAAAUGCGUAGAUAUAGGAAGGAACACCAGUGGCGAAGGCGGCUACCUGGACCAACACUGACACUGAGGUGCGAAAGCGUGGGGAGCAAACAAG